rnacentral:rRNA from 1 species
UACGGAGGAUGCAAGCGUUAUCCGGAAUGAUUGGGCGUAAAGCGUCCGCAGGUGGCAAUGUAAGUCUGCUGUCAAAGCGUCUGGCUCAACCAGAUAAAGGCAGUGGAAACUACAUAGCUAGAGUAAGGUAGGGGUAGAGGGAAUUCCUGGUGUAGCGGUGAAAUGCGUAGAGAUCAGGAAGAACACCAGUGGCGAAAGCGCUCUGCUGGACCUUAACUGACGCUGAGGGACGAAAGCUAGGGGAGCGAAUAGG